CCUCAGCUAUUGCUGCUGUUCCGCCUGACCUUUAACGUUACAUGUGAACUGAGUAAAAGGUUGUAGCCGUCUGGAAGAGCAGCAACAAGGAAAAACAUACGACCGCUGAGACCUCGUGGCUACCAUGAGCUGAACUUGAGAAAAAUCACUUUCCCGUGUCAAAAGUGUCAACCACCUAAACCUUACUGCAG